UGCGGACAGUGGGGUGGCCUGGACAUUCGACGGAAGGCAGCAGGCGUACUGCCGUGGAGCCGGGGCUGGCCUCAGAGGGGGAGAAGGGUCGGGAGUUUGGACCUGCUGAGCCUGAACUAAAAGUGAAGCUAUCCGGGACACAGCCGGGACCCAGUGUGCUCUCCAGAGGGGCAGGGGAUCUGGCAGCAGGCGCAGAACAAGCUCUUGGGAGAAGUUCCGCCCAACGUCAGAGCGGGAACACGAGGGCACCCAGGGAGAAGUGUUGGAAAGCGGCCCUCCGAGAGCACGGGGCUGCACGUAAUGCCGUCUGCCUCGUCGUGACAGCAUGAAACCCUCACAAACGUGAUGCCCGAGCUUGGACUUCUCAGCCUCCGAAACGAGCCAAAGUGAUCUUAAUUCUUCUCAGUGGAGGCUACAGUGGAGUAAACGAGUUCUUGGUCCCUCAGGUAAAUGAGCUCUGACCCGCUGGCAAGUGUUCAGAGAAACAUUUGUGGAUUCACAGGAAGUUGAAAAGAUAAAGCAGAGUGGUUCUGUGGCCCUUCUCCAGCUUCCUCCAGAGGGGACCUCCCACGUGAUCGUAGCACAGUGCAAACCAGGAAGCCGGCGCUGACACAGAUUUCAGUUCAGCUAGCGGCCUCCCAUUUCAUUGCUAGAACUUCACACGUCGCUGUUGGCCCGGAGGAGAACGCGGGUACACAGCAAAAGCAUGGAUCGCGCACAUCCACGUGGGCCCCUCUUGAACUACCACUAUAAAAUAUGGGAAAAGUUCUUUGGGGAAAUAUAAACAUGCAAUCGUUUUUAAGAAGAGAGAAAGAAGAGAGAAUAAAGAGCACUACAUUUUGGAGGCUAAGCAGAGCAAGUUCCACCUCUAAUAUUCAGGCAUACCAGGUUAUUCAGGUCUUUCUCUUUGAAAAUAAAAAAGGCUGACUGAACUCUAAAGAAGCAUAGUACUGAGAAAUGACUAACAAGAUAGAGGCUAAUUAUCCUGAGAGAAUACAAGCCCGUAACAGAGUUUAACCAAGCACAAAACAGCCCUGGUGCUGAGGGCACUGGCCAAACCAAGCAAGAGUAAACUGAAAUUUUACUAAUGCUUCAAGUCAGGGACCCACACAAGUGGGCGCCCGAUGACGGGAAGUCGUGGCCCUCCCUGGUGCAGUUACCUUCAGAAAGGGCCCCACUCUGAGUAGCAAAGCCGCCUCCACUCCCAAAACCAGAAUCAAUUUGUGCACUUGGACUAAAAGAGAAUGUCCUAAAGCUGACCACGGGGAGAUACAAAACAAGAUCAAGCUAAGACAAAGUGAAAAAAGGCAGCAAAAUCCGCCUCCGUGGGAUGUUGAGAUCUGCCCUUCCAGUCAGGAAGAGAACGGGAAGUAGCGCCCUGGACGCCCGUCUCAGCGCCCACGCUCCAGGUGCUUGUACGAGAGCACGGUGAGAAGAAUAAGCAAAAGGAUUAAAAAGGAACGAACAGAAGUGUCUGCGUUUCUACACUAUGUGAUGGAACACGCCCAGAAAACUGUUCAAGAGUGAGUGAGAGGCUUUGGUGCCUUCUGAGACCGACCGUCACGGCAGAACAAGGGAGGAGCCCGGGCUCGGGCGGAGGGCGCAGGGUGCGGAGCCCUGGGCGGCGCGUGGGGGCGGGGUGAGUCCCUCGGGCGCGGAAAGGCCGGGAAGGGCUUUGAAGAUGCGAGGGCCGGUGCGUGGCGGGGCGGG